AGACAUAUAACUCAGUUGGUUAGAGUAUCACGUUGACAUCGUGGAAGUCACUGGUUCGAGUCCAGUUAUGUCUA
rnacentral:tRNA from 1 species